rnacentral:rRNA from 1 species
CAGCCGCCGCGGGAAUACGUAGGGUGCAAGCGUUAAUCGGAAUUACUGGGCGUAAAGCGUGCGCAGGCGGUUUGUUAAGACAGAUGUGAAAUCCCCGGGCUCAACCUGGGAACUGCAUUUGUGACUGUAUAGCUAGAGUACGGCAGAGGGGGAUGGAAUUCCGCGUGUAGCAGUGAAAUGCGUAGAUAUGCGGAGGAACACCGAUGGCGAAGGCAAUCCCCUGGGCCUGUACUGACGCUCAUGCACGAAAGCGUGGGGAGCAAACAGGAUUAGAUACCCCAGUAGUCCCUGUCUCUUAUAC